GAAACCAGAUGUGCCGGCAGCUUAGGGGAAGUGGCAGAGUGGGGUGGGGGGUUCGGGAUUGGGGUUUGCUCCAUUUUAACCACCAGGAUGCCCCUUCCUUGCCAUCCUGAUUCCUACAGAGCCUCUCUUUCCCCUCUUUCUCUGCAGCCCCUGCCCCUCAGCUAUGCUUUGGGUCCUUGGAGGAGAGAGGGUGUCCCCUCUCUGACUCUUUCUGCUGCUGUCUCAUUGCUCAAGCUCUGAGCUGUUUUUCUCCUCUUGUUCCUCUGCUCCUACCCAUUUUCCCUUCUGUUUUUUCCUGCUUCAUUCCCUUUCCCCGCUGACAUGGCUGACUCCCGUUCCCAACACCCCUUGCAGGGGGCUGGCCAGGUGGGCAGGUGCCAGCUGGAGCUGUAAAUAGAGCGCUGCGCUUUUGUGCCGGUUUGUGUGUGUGUUGUAUUUCUGUGUUUUGAUAGUCAUACAAAAAAAAAAAAAAGGAUAAAAGAAACCCCCCUCUUCAGAUGAUUGUCCUCUUCAUUCCCCUGGACCCAGGACAUGUAAUCCUACACACCCACCCACUGUGCAGUGUCUCUGGGUCCCUAAAGGACACCAUUUCUGUCCCUUCUCCAAGUGGUAAGAUGACAUAGGUGCCCCACACCUAAACUGAGGUCAGACCACCAAGGCUUCCACCUGGUGAGCCCCAGCAGGGCUGAGGCCCCCCAGGACAGCAGUCUAUCUGCUGCUGAGUGAUUCGUGGAGAAUGUGUGUGUACACUAUGCCAGUCACACAGGGCUGUGGCUUCCCGCUGUGGAGGUCUGGGUGCCCUUGCUGCUACAUCUUAGCCAGAACUUGAAGCCCUUUGUCUCCAGUCUGAGAUGAAGGAAAAGAGGAAGGGGCAGUGUCUGAGUGGCCCCUUAAGUGGAGCCAGGAAAGGCCUAAUCCUGCUGGAGUCUGGCUGCCCUAGCCCUGGGCCAGGUAAUGCCCAGGAGCUCCAAUUCUUCCAGAGGUGGCCACCUACUUCUUAUCAAAGAAGGAAGGAACAGGGUUUGGCUGAGUUAGUCUGCCUUGCCUCCAGCCUCCAGCCCGCAGGUUGGAGUGGAAGGAGCCCUGGAGGGGCUGGGAAUAUCCUGCCACCUCCUCUCUGCUUGCCCACUCACAGGCAAGGUCCCUCUGCCCAGGGCUCAGGGCUGUGUGUGCCAGAUCUGUCUAUAUUCACCCACUGCCUCCCCCCUCAGUCCCCUCCUUCCUUCCCAGGAGAGCUCCUCACCCACCAAUGGUCAGAGCUGAAGCCAUACGGGACUUUUGACCCAUUGGACCCAGGAGUUAGAAACCUCUUUUUCUCACUUCCUUCCCUGCCCCAUGAGGUGGUGGGGCAGUUCCCUGGCCAAGCCCUUUUGUGCCCCACACCUGCAGGGCCAAGGGCCAUUCUAGACAGGGUGUCUUCUACCAGAGCCCUACCCCCAGCCUUCCUGACCUGCAGGGCCUGGUCUCACCUUGGCAGCUGUAAUACAAAGGGAAUUUGUGCCCACUUCUCCCAGUCUGGUGCUGUCCUCUUGGUCCACCAUCAGCCAGGUCAAGCGCCACUUCCUCCACUCGGGCUGGCUGUGGGCUCCUGACUCUCCCAGCACCUCCCAGAGCCGUGGCCAGCUCUGUGUCGGGGGGCUAGCCUUCCAUCCUGCCAGGCAUGCUGCCUACCUGCCCUGCCUCUGCCCCUGCCCGGGGCCCUGUGCCCCCGAACCCCACCCUGUCCCAAGACUGCCCAAUCUGUCUUACUAAGUGUUUCCUGCCCCAGGAGAGGGCUUAGACCACAAGGGGCCUACACCCUCUUGGUCCCCUCUGCUCCACCUCCACCACCAGCUUCCCCAGGUGAGCUCUACCGGCCAGCCUUUCUCCUCCAUCCAUGGCCAUACCCCCAGCCAUUUUGUACCAUUAUAUAAAUAUAUAUAUAAAUAUAAAUAUAUAAAUACAAUAUGUGAAGACAUCUUCUUGGUUUUUAUUUUGAAACAAUUUUUAGGCUUGUUCCGGGGGUCUCUGUGCUGCCUGUACUGUAUUGACCUGUUUUAUAGGUGCCUUUUUAUUAAAAAGAAAACUCAAAAUCCAA
rnacentral:lncRNA from 1 species